rnacentral:rRNA from 1 species
ACGAGAAUUAAACUGUCUCCUUAUUCUAGUCAGUGAAACUAAUCUUCCUGUGAAAAAGCAGGAAUUCUCUAACAAGACGAGAAGACCCUUUGGAGCUUAAGACAAAUAAAAUUUAUAAUUCUCCAUUAUAUAUCUACACCACUAAAUUUUAAUAGUCUUCGGUUGGGGCAACUACGGAGUAAAGACCAACCUCCAAGAUGUAAUGGAACCUUCCUAAACAAAAAGCCACAGCUUUAUGUAUCAUCAAACUGACAUUAUUAGACCCAAUACUUUGAUUAACGAACCAAGUUACCCUAGGGAUAACAGCGCAAUUUAUUCUAAGAGUCCAUAUCGACGAAUAAGCUUACGACCUCGAUGUUGGAUCAAGGUAUCCCAGUGGCGCAACCGCUACUAAAGGUUCGUUUGUUCAACGAUUAAAACCUCACAUGAUCUGA